GGGGGCGUUCUGGUUUUCGACAGGGCGCGGUUGGAUUCGAGUUGCAGUGGUGUUGUUUACCUACAAACAAAAACUAAAUAUAACUGACAAUCGUCAAUUAGUAUUUGCUGCUUAAUUAGCCACUAAGGGCUUGCAGCCAUCAACCUUAGUUACUCCAUUGGGCUAGGGCUUGGUGUGAUACACACUGGAUAGGUUGAUAAGAUUCUCAAUAAUUGAAACCGAAAUUUAAUUGAGGAAACAAGUAAGCUUAGUCGUCCAUUACUAACUGCUUGUAACUUAUAAUGGACUAAACUGUAGACGUUCGAAUGUGGGACUCGUUUUGGACAGGGGUUCGACUCCCCUCGCCUCCACCA
rnacentral:tmRNA from 1 species